UGAUGAUGAUGAUGACGAUGAUGAUGAUGAUGAUGAUGAUGAUAGCAAUAAUGAUAAUCAUCGUCAUUGUUAACAUUAUCAUCGACAUCAUUA
rnacentral:pre_miRNA from 1 species